AUUGAACGCUGGCGGCAGGCCUAACACAUGCAAGUCGAACGAGUGGCGGACGGGUGAGUAAUGUCUGGGAAACUGCCUGAUGGAGGGGGAUAACUACUGGAAACGGUAGCUAAUACCGCAUCCCAUCAGAUGUGCCCCGGUGGGAUUAGCGAGUUGGUGGGGUAAAGGCUAACCAAGGCGACGAUCCGUAGCUGGUCUGAGAGGAUGACCAGCCACACGGGAACUGAGACACGGUCCAGACUCCUACGGGAGGCAGCAGUGGGGAAUAUUGGACAAUGGGCGCAAGCCUGAUGCAGCCAUGCCGCGUGUAUGAAGAAGGCCUUCGGGUUGUAAAGUACUUUCAGCGGGGAGGCGUUACCCGCAGAAUAAGCACCGGCUAACUCCGUGCCAGCCGCCGCGGUAAUAC
rnacentral:rRNA from 1 species